AUUGAACGCUGGCGGCAGGCCUAACACAUGCAAGUCGAACGAGUGGCGGACGGGUGAGUAAUGUCUGGGAAACUGCCUGAUGGAUGGGGAUAAAUACUGGAAACGGUAGCUAAUACCGCAUACCAUCAGAUGUGCCCAGAUGGGAUUAGCUAGUUGGUGGGGUACCGGCUCACCAAGGCGACGAUCCCUAGCUGGUCUGCGAGGAUGAACUGCCACAUUUGAACUGAGACACGGUCCAGACUCAUACGGGAGGCACCAGUGGGGAAUAUUGCACAAUGGGCGAAAGCCUGAUGCAGCUAUGCCGCGUGUAUGAAGAAGGCCUUCGGUUUGUAAAGUACUUUCAUUGGGGAGGCGUUACCCGCAGAAGAAGCACCGGCUAACUCCGUGCCAGCAGCCGCGGUAAUUC
rnacentral:rRNA from 1 species